UUUCACAUAAAACAUGUUACUUUUGAAACACAGUGCUGCACAUGCAGGAUCAAUACAGUAUGAAAUGUUUUCAAUUCACUGUGUUUUUGUACGUACAAACAUAGAAUACCCUAACUUGCACAAAGUCAAAAUAAUGUGAUCGAGUGUCACCCAGAUUAUCCCAUGUCCUCUUAUUGCAUAAGGUCAAACCAAUAAUCAUUAGAUCUCUCCUCC